UACGGGGAGGGCAAGCGUUGUUCGGAUUACUGGGCGUAAAGGGCGCGUAGGCGGCCACCGCAAGUCGACUGUGAAAUCUCCGGGCUUAACUCGGAAAGGUCAGCCGAUACUGCGGGGCUAGAGUGCAGAAGGGGCAACCGGAAUUCUUGGUGUAGCGGUGAAAUGCGUAGAUAUCAAGAGGAACACCUGAGGUGAAGACGGGUUGCUGGGCUGACACUGACGCUGAGGAGCGAAAGCGUGGGUAGCAAACAGG
rnacentral:rRNA from 1 species